rnacentral:rRNA from 1 species
UACGGGGGGGGCAAGCGUUGUUCGGAAUUACUGGGCGUAAAGGGCUCGUAGGCGGCCAACUAAGUCAGACGUGAAAUCCCUCGGCUUAACCGGGGAACUGCGUCUGAUACUGGAUGGCUUGAGUUUGGGAGAGGGAUGCGGAAUUCCAGGUGUAGCGGUGAAAUGCGUAGAUAUCUGGAGGAACACCGGUGGCGAAGGCAGCAUCCUGGACCAACACUGACGCUGAGUGAGCGAAAGCGUGGGGAGCGAACAGG